AGGGUUAAGGUUGGUUUAGGGUUAGGGGUAGGGUUAGUUUAGGAAUAGGGGUAGGGUUACCCUACCCUAACCCUACUCCAACACCUAACCCUACCCCAACCACUAACCCUACCCCAACCCUUAACCCUACCUCUAAACCUAACUGUAACCCUACCUCUACCCCAACCACUAACCCUACCCU